CAGCCGCCGCGGGAAUACGAAGGGGGCUAGCGUUGUUCGGAAUCACUGGGCGUAAAGCGCACGUAGGCGGAUUGUUAAGUCAGGGGUGAAAUGCCAAGGCUCAACCUUGGAACUGCCUUUGAUACUGGCAAUCUCGAGUCCGGGAGAGGUGAGUGGAACUGCGAGUGUAGAGGUGAAAUUCGUAGAUAUUCGCAAGAACACCAGUGGCGAAGGCGGCUCACUGGCCCGGUACUGACGCUGAGGUGCGAAAGCGUGGGGAGCAAACAGGAUUAGAUACCCGGGUAGUCCCUGUCUCUUAUAC
rnacentral:rRNA from 1 species